CCUCCAGCGGCACCGCCGGCACCGACGAGGUGCUGCGGGAGCGGCUGCGGCGGCACCAGGUGGGGGCGGAGCCCGGCGGGGGCCGCACCGGGGCCGAGGCCUGAGGGGAGGGAGUGGGGGGGGGGGGCGGGACCCCGCGGGGACACGGGGGUCCCCCGACAUCUCCUGGGGGGGUCCCCAAAUGUCCCUGCGGGUCCCCAAGAGUCCCAUGGCCACUCUCGGUCAUCUCUGGGGGGUCCCCAAAUGUCCCUGGGGGUCCUGUGGCCGCCCUCAGCCUUCUCUGGGGGUCCCCAAGUCUCUCUGGGGGUCCCCAAGUGUCCCCAAAUGUUCCCAAGUGUCCCUGGGGGUCCCCCAAAUGUCCCUGAAGGUCCCCAGGUGUCCCCUGCCCACCCUUGGUCACCUCUAGGGGUCCCUAAGUGUCCCUUGGUCACCUCUGGGGGGGUCCCCAAAUGUCCCUGGGGGUCCCCAGGUGUCCCCUGCCCACCCUUGGUCAUCUCUGGGGGUCCCCAAGUGCCCCUGGGGGUCCCCACGUGUCCCAUGGCCACCCUCAGCCAUCUCUGGGGGUCCCCAGGUGUCCCCUGGCCACCCUUGGUCACCUCUGGGGGUCCCCAAAUGUCCCUGGGGGUCCCCAAGUGUCCCUGGGGGUCCCCCAAAUGUCCCUGGGUGUCCCCAGGUGUCCCAUGGCCACCCUUGGCCAUCCCUGGGGGUCCCCAAGUGUCCCUUGGUCACCUCUGGGGGGGUCCCCAAAUGUCCCUGGGGGUCCCCAGGUGUCCCCUGCCCACCCUUGGUCAUCUCUGGGGGUCCCCAAAUGUCCCUGGAGGUCCCCAGGUGUCCCGUGGCCACCCUCAGCCAUCUCUGGGGGGGUCCCCAAGUGCCCCUGGGGGUCCCCAAAUGUCCCUGGGUGUCCCCAAGUGUCCCCGGGGGUCCCCAGGUGUCCCCUGGCCACCCUCAGCCAUAUCCGGGGGGGUCCCCAAGUGUCCCCAGGUGUCCUGGGGAGGCUCCCCCCCUCC
rnacentral:lncRNA from 1 species